GUUAAAAUUUUGUAUUUACUCUUUUUUUUUUCAGUCGAAAAAACUUGGGUUCUCCGUCUCCGGUUCUCCCCCUUCUUCUCCGCCCGAACCCGCGUUUGGGGAACGCCACCAAAUUCCAGCUGCUCGCCUCCCCGCGCGGCCGUUGCUCGCGAAUUGCGAUCUCCCGCGCGGCCGUGGACGAUUUCGGGCUGGGGGCGCCUGGGCGGCGGCGGGAGGCUAGGGUUAGGGGCGGCGGGAGCGGGGAGGUACUGGCCCUCCCCCCCGCUCGUGUCAGGACGGCUGCGCUAGGGUUAGCUCCGGAGGCGCCGGAUUGGCCGCCGCGGAGGGCGGUUGCAGCGGCAGGUGGGGUGCCGGGCGCCGUCGGAGGCAGGAAGAUGACGGAAUUUUCUUCUAAUCCUGUCCUAGAAUUUGAAAUUUGAAGAAGCUGACAAUGUAGCAGAAUGCUAUCCUUAGGGUUGGAUAAGGAAGGCAGGCAAAAACUGUGACAGAAAUGGUUUGUAGUAUUCAGAAUCUGGUAAUUACUGAAUUCUACUCUACCAACAAGGCCAGCGAUCAUCUUUCUACCUUGGGGGUGUCAUGUAUAGUUGUGCUCUAAUGCGUGUGUUGUUGUACAUGUUCCACAUCAUGUUCUGUUGGUCUCACUCACCUGAUUGAUGAUGUUAGGGCCAAUGGGGAACCUCCUUGCUGAAGACUGCUUUCUCUUGUGAUUUUAUCAUUUUCAGGCAAAGAUAAUUUACAAUUAAUAAGAUAAUCAAUAUUGACCUUUACGCCUUGUCAGAUUAUGGGAUGGUUGAUCCAGGAUUUAUUUCUCAGGAUGAAAUUGAUCAUUGCUUUUGUAAAGCAUGUUGGCAACAGCCUUCUGUUAAAUGCUCAAAGAAGCAUCAAUAAUUAAUGUAGAUCCAGUUUUUGACUAAGUCCUUUCUGAGUGAAUUUUGAACAGUUUUAUGAUCCCUCAUGUACUAUUUUGGUGUAGCGGUUGUUCAUGAUUUGUUGGUUAUCAAGGUUAUGUAGCUAAAAUUGAUAACUUCAUUCUGAAAAUGCAACUUGAAAUAAUGGUUAAUCACCUCACUAAUUGGAUCAAGUUUGCAUACGACAUUAUGAAAGGAAUGUACUUAUGAGUAGUACUUUUAUGAUUUCUUAUGGCUUGUUAUCCAUGUAGAACUGCCAAGAAAACAACUGUCAUUCUAAUCUACAUGUAAUGCUGUUUGGUAUUCAUUGGUGUCUCAUAUAUAUAUAUUUUAAUAAUGCUGCUUGUCUCAGUUUUGAAUGCCAUGCAAUUGACUAUUAGGUCCUUGCCUCUGCCCCCCCCCCCCCUCCUUUUCCCUGUCUUUUGCAGUUUAACCCUGGAGUGUAUUUCCUGUGCCCAUAGUGUAUUGAGUUUUCGUAGCAUGUGUUUCUGUCUUGGCCCUUGGGGCCUGCAUGAGGAGGUGGCUUGUAACUCUUCCUCCCUUUAAUGUGGCAGAGCUCCUGUCGCUUUCACUAAUAAGAAAACCUUGACAACAGAGAUGGAAAUCAGGUUUGGAGAUUCUGCUUCUUUUGUCUAACUGUGAUAACAAAGAAUGUAGUCUUCUAAGUAGUCCAUUAUCUUCCUUUCUUUUCUCUAUUUUUUGAAAUGAUAUUUUUCUAUCAUUUCUGUAUUCAUCUUCUUUAAUGUGUAUACUCUUUUUAUAUAUAAUGACCGAUGCACAAAUUGUGACACCUUUUUACCACAGGCGCCACUGGGUCAGAGAGAAAGAUUUGGCUAAAGCAUUAAAGAUUCACUCUAAGCAGCUACAUCACAUUCUCUAGUUAUUUUGAAGAAAACUAGUGAGAAAAUCUCAUUGAAAGGAGGAUAUGCCACCACUGCCAAUGUGAUCUAUGCUCUUUUCUACAUAGCCCAUUGUUAUUCCUAUUAACAUGUUCCUGGAAUAUGCAUGUUUCCUUAAACAUCUGAUUAUCUAUGUGUGCAUCGUGGGAUUUUCAUUAUUUCUUUGUGAUGGCUGUUGUAUUGGGCUUUAUAGAUAUCAUUUGGGUCAUACAACUCAUGUAUAGCCAUUUUCUUACAUAUAUGAAGUUUGCUCUGUUUUUCUAUGUACUAAAAAAAUUAGCCAUCUGUUUAUAGUACUUUGAUUAGUUGGAUCA